GUACUUAUUUUAUUUUAAUAUUAAUGGAACUUGAGAAUGAUAAGAAUUACCUCAACAAACAAGUUUAAACAAAGUUCCACUAAUCCAUUGAAUUCAAACCUACUCUGAAUUUCGAAGUUCAAAUUAACUCCUCCAACAGUACAACAUGCAUUGAACAUCAACUUCAUUACCUAAUAUUUCGCUUCUGAGUUCUGGCAUACAUUCAUAUUUACACCUUUU
rnacentral:misc_RNA from 1 species